rnacentral:rRNA from 1 species
UGACUGACUGAAGAGUUUGAUCCUGGCUCAGGAUGAACGCUAGCUACAGGCUUAACACAUGCAAGUCGAGGGGCAGCAUGGUUGUAGCAAUACAACCGAUGGCGACCGGCGCACGGGUGAGUAACACGUAUCCAACCUGGCCUUUACUCGGGGAUAGCCUUUCGAAAGAAAGAUUAAUACCCGAUGGCAUUUGGUUUCCGCAUGGGAACUUUCUUAAAGAUUUAUCGGUAAAGGAUGGGGAUGCGUUCCAUUAGGCAGUUGGCGGGGUAACGGCCCACCAAACCGACGAUGGAUAGGGGUUCUGAGAGGAAGGUCCCCCACAUUGGAACUGAGACACGGUCCAAACUCCUACGGGAGGCAGCAGUGAGGAAUAUUGGUCAAUGGACGCAAGUCUGAACCAGCCAAGUAGCGUGAAGGAUGACCGCCCUAUGGGUUGUAAACUCUUUUAUAAGGGAAUAAUUGAGGUACGCGUACUUUUUGUAUGUACUUAUGAAUAACAUCGGCUAACUCGUGCANCAGCGCGGUAAACGGAGGAUGCAGCGUUACCGGAUUAUUGGGUUAAAGGACUAGGGGUUUUAAUAUUGUAAGUUCGUCACCGUA